AUACUGCAAAUUCUUCAGAUUAUAUGUGAUCUAUGUGCCUGGAAGACACAGACCAGGAAACAGUCUUUGAAACAUGUCAUUAACUAGAAAAGAGGAUGACUUGUCUUCUGAAAACAUUUUCAUUCCAAGAGAAGGUAACAGAAGCCUGGACUUCUUAAGAGGAUACGGGAAGAUAAUUCUAAGGCAACUGUAGCAGGGUAAGAUCGUGAAAUACAAGUUUCACCCAGAUUUCAACCCAUUAGGUAGCUUCAGAAAGAGGAUUCAGAUCUAGCGAAGUUGGUGGCUGAGCAAUGAAAUAUGGCUCAGCUAACAUGGUUUCUAAAUUUAAUGAUUUUAAAAAUCAACUGAAAGUAAGUGGAGUUAGUAAGUUUGUUUAGAUCUUUCAUUGGAAACACAAUGACAGAUACCUUUUUCUUUUGACUACAAUGAGUAUACCCAAAGCCGGAAAAUACAGCCGAUAAUAUAUCAGAGUGGACUCCAGUUUUUGAGCAAUUUUUGAGACCCCAUCCAAAGGACACAUGGAACAACAGCACAAGAAUAGGUUUUGCACAGUCGUGGUACAAUUGAGUUGGUGUUGCAAAUAGAUUUCGUUUUGUUAAAUACUGGUUGGUCACAGCUACCAUAACAGAAUACAGAUUAGUAUACUUAAACGACAGAUAUUAAUUUGCUCCUGGUGCUGAGGUUAGAAAUUCAGGAUCAAGAGGCUGCGAGGUUUUGUUCUCUCCAAGGCGUGUCUUCCUGCCUUGCAGAUGGUCACUUACCUGUUAUGUCACCCUGUGAAACACCCUUUGGACUGUGCAGUCCUGAUUCCAUUUUCAUGGGUGUUCAAAAGUUAGACAAGAUUAAGACUUACCCACAUGACUUCAUUUAAGCUGAAUAGCUAGUUGAAAGAUCCUGUUCUUAAUUGUGAUCUCAUUCUGUGUGAUUGGAGUCUAGUAUUUUCAAAUGUUAAUUUUAGGAGACUAAUAGAAAGAGCGCAUGAUAUCUGAAUUGAGUUGCUUUUAUCUUCCUCUUAACAGUAUAAUCUCCUGUCCACAUUUUGAUAGUUGAGUAACCCCAAAGGCUCUACAGUUUGUGGAGGGACUGCAUCUCAUUUUCUUACGUUAACUUGAUGCCAGUAAAACUAGUGAUGGGAUGCUGUGUCCCGAACAAACAGCACAAAAGUCUUGAUAAUAUAAAAUAGGAUUUGAAGAGCUUUUUCUCAAUUUUAAAUGUCACCACGGAGCAAGUAAUAGAAAUAUUGAACAUAUGACUUUGAAAAGAUUCAUAAUAUUUACUUAAUUGCAUUUUCCUUUUAAGGAGAAAAAUUGGUAUCCAGGUUGUUCUUGGGAACGAAGAAUUAUACAAAUGAUAUUUUAAUCCUAGCACAGCUACUGAUUUGCUAUGUUAUAAACACAUCAUAAUAUAUUUACAAAUCUGCCAGCUAAGUAUAGAAAUUGCAAGAGGAAAAGCACUGGGUUUACGUUAUAAUAGGCUAAAAGAGCAAACAUUACACAUUUAUUUAGAAAUAGCAUGUUUAUUGUUAACUUCCACUAUUAAACUAACCCUCUCAAAUAAAACAUCUUAUUGGUGUGUGUGUGUGUGUGUGUGUGUGUGUGUGUGUGUGUGUAAAUGACCAAAGAUGGAUACAAAAGGAGAGCUGAAGCAUGGGCACAGAACCACAGCAACUAAAAUUAAUAUUAGACAUUAAGAUGGUAAAUAUUUAGACCAUAAAUCUUGGAAUAUCAAGGUUAUCUGAAGGUCAGCUCCGACAUUUGUGCAAAAGGAGUAUGAAAGAGAUCAGUGUUGUUAAUCUUCAUUCCUUACCAAAAAAAAAAUCUCUUUGCAAGAAAGUCAAGUAAUUUGUGAGGAUCUGUUUUUUUUUCUUUUCAUUUUUUUUCUCAACCAGUGUUGAGCAAAAUUAAAGACACUUAAAUCCAGAAAAUACGCAGAGUAGCAGCCAAAUUUUAACCCUAUUGCACAACGUGUCAGAGGAACAACAGAAAUAAUUGCUGUCAGUUUGUACUUUUUUGACCAAUAAUUCUCUGCAUUUCCUGCUAGUAACUUGAGUGAUGCAAAUGACCUUAUUUUUACAGCAUGCUUUUAUUAAAUAGUUUAUUAUUUUGGCAGACUAAUAAAGAUUUUGGUAUUUGCUUUUAUUUGCAAUAAUAUUACCACCACAUAAAAAAGGAUUUUAUGUUCUUUUUGAGGAACAAGGAGGAUAAAAGUGGUGAUGGAUAGCACAACUGAGGCAUCAGCAAUGAGCUGGAAAUGAGACACAUAAAUAUGAAAGCAGAGCUAAGAAAAUAGAACUGCACCCUUGGCCUUUCUUAAAAGAACACGCACACUUCAUGGUUCAUUCACACCGUUACAGAAACUCCUUUUGUUUCCACUUAAUUGUUAUCAUAAAUGGAAACAGACUGUACCCAAUAAACUAAAGGGAAAGGCUUGUGACCCUUAACCUUGAGAACUGCUGCACAGGCUGGAGAGAUGGCUCAGCAGUUAAGAAAACUGGCUGAUCUUCCAGCGGUCCUGAGUUCAACUCUCA